rnacentral:rRNA from 1 species
GAUGAACGCUAGCGAUAGGCUUAACACAUGCAAGUCGAGGGGCAGCAUGGUCUUAGCUUGCUAAGACUGAUGGCGACCGGCGCACGGGUGCGUAACGCGUAUGCAACUUGCCUCACAGAGGGGGAUAACCCAUCGAAAGACGGACUAAUACCGCGUACACUCCAUCUUGGGCAUCCAAGGUAGAGGAAAUGAAAUUCGCUGUGAGAUAGGCAUGCGUCCCAUUAGCUAGUUGGUGAGGUAACGGCUCACCAAGGCGACGAUGGGUAGGGGAACUGAGAGGUUGAACCCCCACACUGGUACUGAGACACGGACCAGACUACUACGGGAGGCAGCAGUGAGGAAUAUUGGUCAAUGGGCGAGAGCCUGAACCAGCCAAGUCGCGUGAAGGAUGACUGUCUUAUGGAUUGUAAACUUCUUUUAUACGGGAAUAACAAGAGUCACGUGUGACUCCCUGCAUGUACCGUAUGAAUAAGCAUCGGCUAACUCCGUG